CUAAGCAACGUGCCCCAAAGUUCGGGAUAGCCCGGGGAAACCCGGAGUAAUACCGGAUGUGGCUCCUGGAAGGCAUCUUCUAGGAACUAAAUGGUUUUUCGCUUUGGGAGCGGCUUAUGGCCUAUCAGGUAGUUGGUGGGGUAAUGGCCUACCAAGCCGACGACGGGUAGCGGGUCUGAGAGGAUGAUCCGCUCGAGUGGGACUGAGACACGGCC
rnacentral:rRNA from 1 species